GGAGAGAGCGUGUGGCUGGGUUUCUAUCGGGUUGCUUGGAAGACUUCUCUAGUCUCAAAAUUGUUUUCUGGUGCAAGGUUGCAGGUUAACCCGGCUCUGAUGUGGGGUGAUAAUUCUUCCAUCGAUUCUAGUGCAUCAUUUUUCAGAUAGUCAACGAUGAAGAUCAUGUUUCUUAAGUGUUGUGGAGUUUGGAUGGUGUCUCUUCACGGUUCUUCAGUUAGGUUCUCCUUGGUGUGGCUUUUGGUUAUGUUUCCUCUACCUGGGUCCUCCUUGUGGUGAUCUCUGGUAAUGCUUCGCUGUUCUUCCUUGUUCUGUAGCUAAUUUAUAAAAUAAAUUAUAAACCCUUACAAAUUGGUGUAUGAAUCAUAAUAAAUGAUUUAUAAGCCUUUAUAAAUCAUUUUAUGGUUUCUUUUGAUUUUAUUACCAAAUUCCUUGCAUAUGUGCAGUUCUCAGCUAUUCUGUACAUGAAAUCAAAUAUUUCUACUUUCAAGUACACUGAUGCUCGUUUAUAGUUAAUACACACAAUUCAGAAGCAACAAAAAAGAGAGAGAUAGAGAUUGGCAGAAACAUUAUAACUAUUUAUAAAUCAUUUAUAAUUCUUAUAACUGAUUGAUUAACAAAGAAGACACUGAAAGACUCCGUUGUGCAUUGCCAAAAUGUAAAGUCCGUGAGUUUGUGAAUAAUGGACAUAUUCCUGAUCUUGAACUGUGUCCAGCAGCAAUUCAUUUCUUGAAAAAGAGAAACAUUAUCUUCGGUGGCUGGCAUAUCCUGUGAUGUUUGCCAAAAAGAUAAGCUCAAAGCUCCUUGAUGUGCAGAUGUUGUCAAAGUUAGGAUAAUAGGCGCAGCUCCUGUCUCCAAUAUGAAUUUCUACAAGCUGCUUCGUUCAAAGACUCAUGUGGUCUUGUAUCCUGGAUUGUAUGUGAAGCUUUGCACAGAAAGGUAGUUAACAGUUUGUGUAUUUUUUACAUGUAUGGCUCUGACACAUUUUUGUAGAUCAUUUGUAAAGGAUAAUAAAUCAUUUAUAGGACUUUAUCAAUAUUGUUAAUCAUUUAUAGACGUUUAAAAGGUCUAUAGAUCACUUUUAAAUGAUAAUAAAUAAUAUAUAUGUUUGUAAAAGUCUACAAAUCAUUUGUAAAUAUUUAAAAAUCAUUUAUAAAUAAUUUAUAAUGGUUUAUAAACCAUAUAUAAGGGUUUAUAAAAAAAUUUAUAAGACAAUUUAUAGAUUGUAUAUAACGAUUUAUAAAUCUUUUAUUAAGACAUUUAUAAUAUUUUAUUAUAAGAUUUUAUAAAACAAUUUAUAGAUCAUAGAUAAUGAUUUAUAAAACCAUUUAUUAGGUUCAUAAAUCUAUUUAUAAUUGGUUAUCAAAACAAUUUAUAAGGCUUUCUAAAUAUCUUUUAAAGUAUAAUUCAUUUAUAAUUGGGAAAAUUGCAAAACUAGCACAUCUGAAGUACACUUAUUCAUGUUUACACUAUUAAGAUGUCCAUUUUUAAAAGCACCUAAAUUUUAAGGAAACAAAAGACAAUUAUAUCCUCUAAUCUAUUUCUACUCAUGGUGAGAGACGAGAUCAGUUUUAAACCGCUUUCAUGGGUGGACUACAUCAUCUUCGUCUGUGGACUACCGUGCUCCGUCGGAUCAAAAGUAGCUGGAUCGUAAUCGACCAUCUAUAAAGUUUAUAAAACACAUAUGUAUUUAUAUAACUAUUUAUAAAGGUUUAUAAAACCAUUUAUGAACCAUUUAUAAAUUUUAUAAGAGCUUAUAAAAGCUUGUACCAACCAUCUAUAAAGUUUAUAAAACACAUAUAAAUAUUCAUAUAUCUAUUUAUAAAUGUUUAUAAAACUAUUUAAAAGGAUUUAUAAAACUAUUUACAAGAACUUAUAAGCUAUUUAUAAGAGUUUAUACAUUUAUUUGUAAGUGUUUAUAAAUUAAUUUACAAGGUUUAUAAAUCUGUUUAUAAGAGUUUAUAAAUCUAUUUAUCAGGGUUUAUUCCAAAGAUCAUAAGAAUUUAAUAAUCUUCAUAACACAAUUUAUAAGAGUUUAUACAUCAAUUUAGAAGUGUUUAAAAAGGAUCAUACAAGCCACUCUUUAUGACUCUGAAGGCCAUCAAGAUUCAAGGUUUUGACAGCGACAGUAAGGCCAGUGCCAGGCUUAACAGGAGCAGUUCCGUUCUCCCCACCCAUCCUUUAAAGACACAACCAAAUCCACCUUCUCCGAGAAGACUUUCGGGUCAGAGAUUUCUAGUAGCCAACUUGAGAUUAUAAGAAUAUUUAACGUUAUUUAUAAGGGUUUAAGAUUUUCUUCUUUCUGUUUAUCCAAAAAUAGAAUACGGUUGAUUUGGACUUGUCAUCUGAAUAGUUCCGACUAAGAGAGAGAUUUUCCGAUAGUACACUGCAUAUUAAGGAAUUAUAACUCCUUAUAAAUCUGUAUUUUAGGAUAUUGUUGAUAAUACAACUCAACAAUUUACAAGGUUUUAUAAAAUAAGUUCUUAAACAAGAAUUCAUCAUAUAUGUCUAUAGAACAGCAUAUAAACAUGUGAACUCGAGAAGUCUUGUAUUGUGUUAUUUGUAAGACUGUUACCGAAAUACAUGAACAUUAUGCUUGGAUAAGGUAUCUUUAGACCAUGAUUAAAAGUUAACAUCAUCUUUUUAUUUCGUCUUAUAGGUUUAGGAACCAAUUAGAAAGUCUCUUAAAUCAUUUAUAAGAGUCUACAGUAAUUUAUAAAGACUUAUACAAACAAUUUAUAAGAGUUUGUAAAAUUGUUUAUAAGGGUUUAUAAGGAUAUAUAUAAAUAAUUAAUAAGAGUUUAUAAAUCAUUUAUAAAAUUUACUAAAAACAAUUUAUGAAUUUUAUAAACCUUUUAAAAAGGUUUACAAAUUUUUGUAAGAGUCUACAAACCAUUUAUAAAGGCUUAUAGAACAAUUUAUAAAAGUAUGUAAAAUAGUUUAUAAGGAUUUAUAAGAGUAUGUAAAUAAUUAAUAACUGUUUAUAAAUCAUUUAUAAAUGUUUAUAAGAACAAUACAUAAAUUUUAUAAACCAUUUAUAAGGGUAUAUAAAUUAUUUAUAAGGAAUCUAUAAACUUCUUAUAGAGGGUAUGUAAACAAUUUGUUUGUUUAAUGGCUUUAUAAAGUAUAUCUUUUGUCUGUAUUUUAAUCAUUUGAUAUGGAAUCCUUACUUACCUUCAUAAUUUAGUCACUAAAAACAUCUGAACGGCAUGUUUCUUUACUUGAAUUAUGGAUACAAUAUGUUAUUUCUCUUCUUGUUCUCUCUCCCGUACAAGUUUGCCUUCAUGUAACCCAUUUGGUCACAUGAAUAUUGGCACAAAAUCAAGACUAUUCAACGUCAACCUAACCAAGCUUGAUUUCUAUUACAAGAAACAAAAUGUAGUAAAAAUGAGUAGUCUCAAUUACUUAGCCACAGAAUAACAGGUCAUUUCAUGGAAAGAGCAAGACUAUGAGUUGAAAGGACUAUAUAAGGCUCUCAUCUGAACAUUAGAGAUAAUUCCCUGUUCUCAACAAAAAGUUGUCAUUUCAAACAUAAUCUGAGAACAUCAAGGUUUCCCCACAUCACGCUCUUCUCUUUUGUAAAAAAAAAAAACGAUUGCAACCAAACUCACUUAAAUGUCCAACUAACCUCUUCAACUCUGCAAGUCUUAUAAGAGAUAUACGAUUGUUUAGUAUAAGAGAUGUCUGAAGAAGAUGAGAGAGAAGAUGGUGUUAAGAAGCUAACUCUGAAACUUUUAUAAAGCUUUAUAAAUCUGCAAUUCUUGAUCUCACAAACCACAUUCUUGUUUUGAGUCCCUCUUACUUUUUCAAACAGCUCACCAAACUCGUUGAUCUUCAAAAUCUGGACACAACCCAGUCACAUAUUAUUCCUACGCAUAAGCACUCAUUUCCAAAAACAAGAUUUACUGUAAUUUAACUCAGAAAAGUGCACUUGAAAGUUCAAACACGUCAAUUAGAUUUGGGGUUUUUCAUAGAUUCAAUUGAACUAAUUUACUCAAUUGAACUCGGAAAUCAAAUCCACUGACACAAACUAUCUUUAAGUUUGUCGAUCGUGUUCACCGGAGCUUGUUGGUGUUUACCGGAGCGAUAUUUGGUCGGAGCAAUUGGAUAUGGUCACUGGAGCGUCGUUGGUUCAAUCAUCAUAACCUGAUUAUAAGAAAUAUAGGGAUCAAGGAAGGAAUAGAAAAUAUUCAACAAAAAAAAAUCU